AGAAGUAUUCGUUUGACCUGCACCUUGCGGGUUACGACCACGACACCCCCCUCACCGGAGUGGAACAAGCCGGAACCUUCGAACCCAAUGAGAAAGCUGGAGGUUUUGAGUACGUGAUAGAGGGUGGUGGUGACCACCAAGGCUAUGAAGUCCUGUAACCAACGGCUCAGCUGGGGGAGGCAGGGUCCGCUGGAGAGAACGGAGAGAAGCAGGGUCUUGGUGAUCAGCGAUGGCGACAGCUUCGACAACUUCUGUGGCUGUUCGCUCCACUCUGACUCCGCCCGUAAAGAGGGUGGGCUUUAGCCUGAGACCUGGACCUGAGUGACAAGCAGUCGGACAAAUCAGACAACGGGGAGCAGAAUGGGGAACAACAACAACGUUGCCGUGGGGAUGACCCCUGACCCUCCAGGCCUGACCUUUGAUCCUGUAGGUCCAGCGUGAGGUCUUCACUGAAAUCAACUUGGAUAUAUAGGAGACACACACACAUACAGUGUUGUAAAAAUUGUAAUGUUCUUGUUGUGGUUGAUUUAGAGAUGAAUGUUAAAAAAGAUUCAAAUAACUUUUACUUCCCUAUUUUUUAUGCUGAGUUUUUUGAUUCCGUAUGUUUUUUUUUUGUAUUUCAAGAUGAAAACGAAUGUUUAUUGUUUUUUGUUAUUCAUUUUUAAUAAUGUUUUGUGCAUGAUAAUCAUCGCAGGAAGAUGAUGCAAAGUCACACGGUGAUUGUUUUUAGAAUAAAACUUCACAGGAAUU